rnacentral:lncRNA from 1 species
UGUGAGUCCUGAGGCACACCCUGAACUGUCCUCACUAUGUGUUGGAAGUUGCUGUUCAAAAAGAGAUCCUUGGAACAGCAUCAGUGAGACUGCUCAGAAACACAGAACAUGGCUAACACAGCCAGCAACUUGGUUCUUGGACUGGAAUAAAGAUGUGAUCAUCUAGCUUCCUGCUCUUCCUGCCUUCUGCCUCACCAUGAUGAAUUUCCCCUCUGGAACCGUAAACAAAAAUAAAG